rnacentral:misc_RNA from 2 species
AAGUCGUAACAAGGUCUCCGUUGGUGAACCAGCGGAGGGAUCAUUAUAGAGUUUUCUAAACUCCCAACCCAUGUGAACUUACCAUUGUUGCCUCGGCAGAAGCUGCUCGGUGCACCCUACCUUGGAACGGCCUACCCUGUAGCGCCUUACCCUGGAACGGCUUACCCUGUAACGGCUGCCGGUGGACUACCAAACUCUUGUUAUUUUAUUGUAAUCUGAGCGUCUUAUUUUAAUAAGUCAAAACUUUCAACAACGGAUCUCUUGGUUCUG